UACGGAGGGGGCUAGCGUUGUUCGGAAUUACUGGGCGUAAAGUGUGCGCAGGCGGCCGAGCAAGUCGAGUGUGAAAGCCCCGAGCUUAACUUGGGAACUGCGCUCGAACUACUUGGACUGGAGUGUGGCAGAGGGGGGUGGAAUUCCGCGUGUAGCAGUGAAAUGCGUAGAGAUGCGGAGGAACACCGAUGGCGAAGGCAGCCCCCUGGGCUAACACUGACGCUCAGGCACGAAAGCGUGGGAGCAAACAGG
rnacentral:rRNA from 1 species